UCCAUAUUGCAGUGUUCAUUCAAUCAUAAAGUCCUGAAUCCAGAAUAGCCUGGAUUUCUCUGUCCUGUCAAUGGCAUGGUUCUUAUGUAUGUUUCAUAACUCUUGGAAUUACAAGCACAUUUCUGGCUUUCGUUAGCAUUUCUCUGACUGUUUUUAUUGUCAGUUUGACUUUUUAACAGGGUCUUGCAUAGCUCAGGAUAUGUUUAAAGUCAAUAUGUGGUUAAGGAUGACCCACUGGUUGCAGGGCAUAUGUAGGACGGACAUUAAUUUCAGGUGUCUUCCUUAAUGUCCCUCCAUUGUCUCUCAGUAAACUGGAGCUUACUAACUCAGCCAGAUUCCAGGAACCCUUCUGUCAGUGUGGCCUCCCCCCCUCCCCCAACACACACUAAUAUUCUAGGUAUAUCUGGCACACACAACUUUUUUAGGGGUUCUGGGGGAUUGAACUCACAUCUUAGCAAGCUUGCUUAGCAAGCUCCUAACUAAGCCAUCUUGUCUGCCCUGCUUGCUGUUGAUUUUGUUUAUGUCUCAAGAUAGGGUCCCACGAUGCAAUCUUGCUUGGUCUGGAACUCCCUAUGUAGACCAGACUGGCCAUGAACUCAUAGGCAUCCACCUGCCUCUGCCUUGGAUUAAAGGUGUGCACCACCAUGACCAGAUAGUAGCCAUAUUUUUAAAGACCUGCCCUAAUCACCAGGCAAGCAAAUCUUGAAGCUUUAGCCCCACUUUCUCACCAACUCACCUCCCCUAGACUCCUUCAAGGCUUCCUAGUCCACAUCUUAGAGAACUCGGGACCUCUUCCUGUGCUGCACCAGGCCUCUGGGCUACACAUAGGAACCAGACCAUUUUCCCCUUUCCUCUGGCCUUCUUCUCUUAUGGAAGUGUGGACAAGGAGCUGUGUUUCUAACUUGUGCCCCCAGCCUGUGGUGACAGCCCCAUGAGACACUGACACUCAGAGUCCCUUGUUCCGCCGACUACAGCAUUCACCAAGUGCGAUGUUCUUCUUGCAGCACAAGAGUCCGUGGGAGACUUACACAGUUCAUCUUUGAGCCGUGUCUUGGCACUGCUACCAUGUGUUAGAGAUUUGGGGGAGUGCUGUAGAGACCAAAAGGAGCAACAAAUGUAGCCUGCAGGAUCCCAGUGGUUCCAGAGUUCAGCCUGCACACUGCGCCCUGAAAGGAAAUAUGACCUCUUCCUAUUUCUUUUUUUCUCUCUGACUCGAGUAAUUGGUGCUGUCAGUCCUGGAUCCCGACGCUGCCCGUCAUGCGAUUGUCAAACCUCUAAAUUAAGACCUCGACUCUGCGGUGUAGAAUAAUAACAUGCUCUAUUUUGGCUGAGUUUAAUGACCGUGCCAGGAUUCGAGUCUUGCCAGGUUGCAAGGUCACGUGGGUGCCUGAAAGCCUGCCUGUCC